CACGUAGGGGGGCAAGCGUUGUCCGGAUUUAUUGGGCGUAAAGCGCGCGCAGGCGGUCCUUUAAGUCUGAUGUGAAAGCCCACGGCUCAACCGUGGAGGGUCAUUGGAAACUGGGGGACUUGAGUGCAGAAGAGGAAAGCGGAAUUCCACGUGUAGCGGUGAAAUGCGUAGAGAUGUGGAGGAACACCAGUGGCGAAGGCGGCUUUCUGGUCUGUAACUGACGCUGAGGCGCGAAAGCGUGGGGAGCAAACAGG
rnacentral:rRNA from 1 species